rnacentral:rRNA from 1 species
UACGGAGGGUGCAAGCGUUAAUCGGAAUUACUGGGCGUAAAGCGUGCGUAGGCGGUUCGUUAAGUCUGUUGUGAAAGCCCCGGGCUCAACCUGGGAAUGGCAAUGGAUACUGGCGAGCUAGAGUGUGUCAGAGGAUGGUGGAAUUCCCGGUGUAGCGGUGAAAUGCGUAGAGAUCGGGAGGAACAUCAGUGGCGAAGGCGGCCAUCUGGGACAACAGUGACGCCUGAGGCACGAAAGCGUGGGGAGCAAACAGGG